GCGAUGGAGACUGCGGCCCAAGUUAGGAUUAGGACAGCGGUUUUUCAGUCCGGAGAUUCCGGCCACAACUAUUUUUGUCUGUUUUUAUCGUAAGCCAGAGUCUUUGGGUGCAGCUCUGGGACACCUAAAGGGCCUGGAGAAAUUCAGGCGGGGCCAGUGCUGUGGGGGUAGAUGUUAGACGUGGAAGGGACCCUAGAGAGCCUUGACUGUGAGGACUGAGACAGGGCCUCCUUUGUUGCCCAGGCCGGAGUGCAGUGGCUAUUCACAGGUCGAUAAUGCAAUCAUGGUGCACACUACAGCCUUGAACUUCUGGGCUCAUGUGAUCCUUCUGCCUCAGCCUCCCAGCGCUAUCCUCAUCAUACAUAUACUGUGAAGAUAAAAUAUCUGUUGAAGAUUCUUUGAGCACCUUGGGCCAGAAGAGCUACAGAAAGCCAAGGUGUGGCUGUGAUGACACUGAAUUCAGCUCAAGACCCAGGAGAACCUUACAUCUAUUCUUAUUUCCACAAGGAAGUGCACACAUGGCUAAUGCAAAUUCUUCCAUAAUAAUGAUAUAAACUUGAGUUGUCCAGGUUUGAUGAGACCCACAUCUUGUAUAUACAGUGUCAUCUACUGCCUCUGUUAGGGGCUCUAGGGGAUAAAGGAAACUAUAUUAAGAAAUGCAGCAUCUGUUUCUCCCUGUGUGACCACCCUACUUCCAAGAAGUUUCUGUAUCCUUGGCUGAAGUGCACUGUGUGUAUGUGUAUGUGUGUACACUCUUCUACAUCAAUCUGUAAGUCACUGAAAUGCUGCAGAUGUUUUAAAAAAAUUCCACCAUACUUGCUUACUUUAAACUUUGAAACAGGCAAAUAGCUAAGGCCAAUAACACUAGAUAGAAUUAAGUAAUUAAUAAUUUAACAGCACAAUUUAACAUUGUGCUUCUUAGGAUGGGCAGGGAUUGGUUAAUGGAUACAAAAUUAUAGCUAGAUAGGAGGAAUGAGUUCUGGUGUUCUGGAGCACUGUAGGAUGAAUAUGGCUAACUAUAAUUUAUUGUAUACUGUCAAAAGUCUAGAAGAAAGGAUUUUAAAUGUUCACAACACAAAUAAUAAAUUUUUGAGAUAAUGCAUAUCUGGUUUGAUUGUUAUACAUUGUAUACAGUAUUAAAAUAUCACUAUGUAUCC
rnacentral:lncRNA from 1 species